UACAGAGGGUGCGAGCGUUGUCCGGAAUCACUGGGCGUAAAGGGCGCGUAGGUGGCGGCCCAAGUCCAUGGUGAAAGCUCGAUGCUCAACAUCGAGUCGGCCACGGAUACUGGGUUGCUCGAGCACUGUAGGGGCAGAUGGAAUUCCGGGUGUAGCGGUGGAAUGCGUAGAGAUCCGGAAGAACACCGGUGGCGAAGGCGGCCUGCUGGGCAGUAGCUGACACUGAGGCGCGACAGCGUGGGGAGCAAACAGG
rnacentral:rRNA from 1 species